rnacentral:lncRNA from 1 species
AUAAUAGAAGAAUUCUGCGGUGCUUUUCCGCUUAACAAAAUGAUCGCGUUUGUGACCAAAGAGAAUAAUAUUUUUGUGUAUUUUUUUGGCUCAUAUAGUCACAUAGCCUUAUUUUUCUUUUAUUAUAUUUUUUUUUGUAAAACUCACUGAUUAUUUAUAAAUUUCAAAUAUAUUUUAUUGAAUCGUAAUAUUAGUUACAUUUCAAAUUAUUUGAAGAUAUAAUUGACCAAUUAUUAUAAAAAAAAA